UAGUGACCGAUAGUGAACCAGUACCGUGAGGGAAAGGUGAAAAGAACCCCGGAAGGGGAGUGAAAAAGAACCUGAAACCGUGUGUCUACAAGUAGUCAAAGCACAUUAAAGUGCAAUGGCGUGCCUUUUGUAGAAUGAACCGGCGAGUUACGUUAUCUAGCGAGGUUAAGUCAGAAAAGACGGAGCCGGAGCGAAAGCGAGUCUUAAUAGGGCGAAAAGUUAGGUGACGUAGACCCGAAACCAAGUGACCUACCCAUGACCAGGCUGAAGGUGUGGUAAAACGCACUGGAGGGCCGAACCCACGUAAGUUAAAAAUUGCGGGGAUGAGUUGUGGGUAGCGGUGAAAUUCCAAACGAACUUGGAGAUAGCUGGUUCUCUCCGAAAUAGCUUUAGGGCUAGCCUCGUGGAGAGGAUAAUGGAGGUAGAGCUCUGUUUGGACUAGGGGCCCGUCAGGGGUUACUGAAUCCAGAUAAACUACGAAUUCCAGAUAUCCAUACACGGGAGUCAGACUGCGAGUGAUAAGAUCCGUAGUCGAAAGGGAAACAGCCCAGAUCACCAGUUAAGGUCCCCAAAUCUAUGCUAAGUGGAAAAGGAUGUGGAGUUGCGUAGACAACUAGGACGUUGGCUCAGAAGCAGCCAUCAUUCAAAGAGUGCGUAAUAGCUCACUAGUCGAGUGGCGCUGCGCCGAAAAUUUACCGGGGCUAAGCAUAGUACCGAAACUGUGGAUGUGUUUUAAAGAGCACGUGGUAGGAGAGCGUUCUAAGAGCGGAGAAGUUGAAUCGAGAGGAUCAAUGGAGCGCUUAGAAGUGAGAAUGCCGGUAUGAGUAGCGAAAGAUAGGUGAGAAUCCUAUCCGCCGAAAGACUAAGGUUUCCUGGGGCAGGCUCGUCCGCCCAGGGUAAGUCGGGACCUAAGGCAAGGCCGAGAGGCGUAGUCGAUGGAUAACAGGUAGAGAUUCCUGUACUGUGUCAAAUCGUUAAGAGCGAAGGAGGGACGCAGGAGGUGAAGCACGCAUCGCGAUGGAACGAUGUUCAAGCAACAAGUGCGGUUAAGAGUCAAAUGCUUCUAACCAGCAACACGAGUUGUGAAGAGGAGUGAAUUAAAAGUAGCGAAGGUGUGGUAAUCACACUGCCAAGAAAAGCUUCUAGCCAGAGAUGACAUACCCGUACCGCAAACCGACACAGGUAGUCGAGUGGAGAACACUAAGGUGAGCGAGAGAACUCUCGUUAAGGAACUCGGCAAAAUGACCCCGUAACUUCGGAAGAAGGGGUGCUAGCCAAGAGAUUGGUUAGCCGCAGUGAAUAGGCCCAAACAACUGUUUAUCAAAAACACAGGUCUCUGCAAAAUCGUAAGAUGACGUAUAGAGGCUGACACCUGCCCGGUGCUGGAAGGUUAAGAGGAGAGCUUAGCGUAAGCGAAGGUUUGAAUUGAAGCCCCAGUAAACGGCGGCCGUAACUAUAACGGUCCUAAGGUAGCGAAAUUCCUUGUCGGGUAAGUUCCGACCUGCACGAAAGGUGUAAUGAUUUGGGCACUGUCUCAACGAGAGACUCGGUGAAAUUAUAAUACCCGUGAAGAUGCGGGUUACCCGCGACAGGACGGAAAGACCCCAUGGAGCUUCACUGUAGCUUGAUAUUGAGUAUCUUUUAAACAUGUACAGGAUAGGUAGGAGCCAGAGAAGAUAGGACGCUAGUCUUAUUGGAGGCAAUGUUGGGAUACUACCCUUGUUUGAAGGAUGCUCUAACCUCGACCUGUAAGCCAGGCCAGGGACAGUGUCAGGUGGGCAGUUUGACUGGGGCGGUCGCCUCCUAAAGUGUAACGGAGGCGCUCAAAGGUUCCCUCAGAAUGGUUGGAAAUCAUUCGCAGAGUGUAAAGGUAUAAGGGAGCUUGACUGCGAGAGAGACAACUCGAGCAGGUAGGAAACUAGGACUUAGUGAUCUGGUGGUACCGUAUGGAAGGGCCAUCACUCAACGGAUAAAAGCUACCCUGGGGAUAACAGGCUUAUCUCCCCCAAGAGUUCACAUCGACGGGGAGGUUUGGCACCUCGAUGUCGGCUCGUCGCAUCCUGGGGCUGAAGUCGGUCCCAAGGGUUGGGCUGUUCGCCCAUUAAAGCGGCACGCGAGCUGGGUUCAGAACGUCGUGAGACAGUUCGGUCCCUAUCCGUCGUGGGCGUAGGAAAUUUGAGAGGAGCUGUCCUUAGUACGAGAGGACCGGGAUGGACGCACCGCUGGUGUACCAGUUGUUCCGCCAGGAGCAUCGCUGGGUAGCUAUGUGCGGAAGGGAUAAGCGCUGAAAGCAUCUAAGUGCGAAGCCCCCCUCAAGAUGAGAUUUCCUUUGC
rnacentral:rRNA from 1 species